UACGUAGGGUGCGAGCGUUGUCCGGAAUUACUGGGCGUAAAGAGCUCGUAGGUGGUUUGUCGCGUUGUUCGUGAAAUGCCACAGCUUAACUGUGGGCGUGCGGGCGAUACGGGCAGACUGGAGUACUGCAGGGGAGACUGGAAUUCCUGGUGUAGCGGUGGAAUGCGUAGAGAUCCGGAGGAACACCAGCGGCGAAGGCGGCAUCCUGGACUGGUCCUGACACUCAUGAGCGAAAGCGUGGGGAGCGAUCCGG
rnacentral:rRNA from 1 species